UUAUGCCUACGGGGGGCAGCAGUGGGGGAUAUUGCACAAUGGGCGCAAGCCUGAUGCAGCGACGCCGCGUGAGCGAAGAAGUAUUUCGGUAUGUAAAGCUCUAUCAGCAGGGAAGAAAAUGACGGUACCUGACUAAGAAGCUCCGGCUAAAUACGUGCCAGCAGCCGCGGUAAUACGUAGGUGGCAAGCGUUGUCCGGAAUUACUGGGUGUAAAGGGAGCGCAGGCGGGAAGCCAAGUCAGCUGUGAAAACUACGGGCUUAACUUGUAGACUGCAGUUGAAACUGGUUUUCUUGAGUGAAGUAGG
rnacentral:rRNA from 1 species